GAUGAAGAACGCAGCGAAAUGCGAUAAGUAAUGUGAAUUGCAGAAUCCAGUGAAUCAUCGAAUCUUUGAACGCACAUUGCGCCCGCCAGCAUUCUGGCGGGCAUGCCUGUUCGAGCGUCAUUUCAACCCUUGACCUCCCUUUGGGGAAGUCGGCGUUGGGGACCGGCAGCACACCGCCGGCCCUGAAAUGGAGUGGCGGCCCGUCCGCGGCGACCUCUGCGUAGUAAUCCAACUCGCACCGGAACCCCGACGCGGCCACGCCGUAAAACACCCAACUUCUGAACGUUGACCUCGAAUCAGGUAGGACUACCCGCUGAACUUAAGCAUAUCAAUAAGCGGAGGA
rnacentral:misc_RNA from 1 species